AAAAAGAGCGCAGCCGUAAGAGAACAAAGAGGAUAAGAGAAUAAGAAAAGAGAGAGAGAAAAGAAGAAAAAGAGAAGAGAGAAAGGAAGAGAGAGCUCACCGUCCACCAUGAGGAUCCAUUGCCACCAUGAGCUGCACGUCUCCAGAGGAGGACCCAUGGUCACCGGAGCCUCUGAUCUACCACCGUCGCAAUUGUUGCUUGCAUCGAGAAGAGGACAGGCUGGAGAAAAAAAAAGUUGAGGGAAAAGGCACAGAUCCGAGGUAGGGUUUUGUGAGGAAGAUUUACGUUGCUUUAGAGAGAAUUAAACCCUGAUCAAGGUGUCUCUUGAAAUAUCUCAUUGCAACAAAGCCAUAGAAGAAAACGACAUCGUCAUCGGAGUUAAGGUCAGCCCACAACGAAACUUUCUUCCUGCAGAAAAAUCAUAUGCGCUGCCAUCCUGCAACCCAGUAAUCUGCUUCGACGCAGCAACUUCAAAGGACUGCAGCCGACUCGUAUGAAGUCCGAUCGAGCUGAAAUUUUGUGUAGGGCUUCACGGUACAUCUGUCUCUAGUUUCAACGGUGGGAUCGAGAUUCCAACGGUUGGUUGUCGAGUUAUGAGCGCGCUUUCGAGGCAGCUUUGAAGUGUUCUUAAGAAGGGACAUUCUCCAGCUUUAACCAUUAUAUUCUCCAAGCGCUAUUCCAGGUUCUUUUAAAUUAAGGUGAGGACAAAUUUUUGGAUUUCUAAGAUGUAUUAGUUGAUUUAGUAAUGUGUGUAUGCUUAGUAUAGGUAUUAAACAUGAUUGAUAAUUGGUAUUUGAUAAUGGUAAUUGAUAACUGUUAUUGAUUGGUUAUUAAUAAUAAUUAAUAAUAAAAAGUACUUGAAAAUAUGAUAAUAGAAUUGUAAGUUAUUUAGUCCUUAAUUGAAAUAGUGUUUAUUUGGUUAUAAUAUUGUUUGACGGCCUACAACGAAGAACUGAAAUUGUAAAGUUGUAGUGAUCGAUAAAUUGUUUGACGGCCUACAAUGAGGAACUGAAUAUUGUGAAGGUGUAAUGAUCGAGAAAGGACUGACGAGCCAUAGUCAAGUCCUAUUGAGGGUGGUGGUACCGGUAACUUGUCAAGCCCGUAAUGGGUGGUGGCACCGGUAACUUAUCAAGCCUGUAAUGGGUGGUGGCAAAGAAUGAGUACCAUUGACGAAAGUUCUUUGGGAAUGUGUUAUAGAAUCUCAAGGUUGAUUGUUUUGAAUGAUUAAAUGAUUAUAUUUAUUUAGAAAUAUUAUAAUUAUAUAUAUUAUAUAAUAAUAUUAGUUAUUCUAGGUUAAUUGUUGCUUGAGUUUGAUGCCUAUAUUAUGUAUACAUUAUUGCUAUUUCAAAUAAUAUAUCAAAGAAUCUUGUGUGUUUCAAGAGAACACUCUCACUGAAUAUUUUUUCCCGAAUACUCAUCUCUCUCUUUUUCAGGUGAGACCGAUGAAUAGUAGUUGUGACGGUGGAUGUGGUGUUGCUUCCGGGGACUAUGGAUGAGUUUCUAUUCAAUUAUUUUCAAUAAAGAUUUUUAACUAUAUUUUUUUAAUUAUUUUUCUUCAAGUAUUUAAAAUUUGGUUUAUUGUCAAGAUAUUUCAAGUUUCCACUUAUUUAUUUUUAAUAAAGGAUUUAGAUAAUAAAUGAAUAUUUAUUGAAUUCGUUUAUUCUUUUCAUAAGCCGUUAAAUGAAUGUAAAUUAAAUUAGGUUUAAAACUUUAAAUUGCAAGAUUAGGGUAUCUCAUAUAGAUCGUCAACUGAU
rnacentral:lncRNA from 1 species